rnacentral:rRNA from 1 species
GAGUUUGAUCCUGGCUCAGGAUGAACGCUAGCUACAGGCUUAACACAUGCAAGUCGAGGGGCAGCAUGAUCAAAGCUUGCUUUGAUUGAUGGCGACCGGCGCACGGGUGAGUAACGCGUAUCCAACCUUCCCCUUAGUAGGGCAUAGCCCGGCGAAAGUCGGAUUAACACCCUAUGUUGUUCAUUGAGAGCAUUUGACGUGAACCAAAGAUUCAUCGCUAAGGGAUGGGGAUGCGUCUGAUUAGGUAGUCGGCGGGGUAACGGCCCACCGAGCCUUCGAUCAGUAGGGGUUCUGAGAGGAAGGUCCCCCACAUUGGAACUGAGACACGGUCCAAACUCCUACGGGAGGCAGCAGUGAGGAAUAUUGGUCAAUGGGCGAGAGCCUGAACCAGCCAAGUAGCGUGCAGGAUGACGGCCCUAUGGGUUGUAAACUGCUUUUGUACGGGAAUAAAGUCAGGGACGUGUCCCUGUUUGUAUGUACCGUAAGAAUAAGGACCGGCUAAUUCCGUGCCAGCAGCCGCGGUAAUACGGAAGGUCCGGGCGUUAUCCGGAUUUAUUGGGUUUAAAGGGAGCGCAGCUGCCUGUUAAGCGUGACGUGAAAUGCCGCGGCUCAACCGUGGAAGUGCGUCGCGAACUGGCGGGCUUGAGUGUGCACGAGGAAGGCGGAAUUCGUGGUGUAGCGGUGAAAUGCUUAGAUAUCACGAAGAACUCCGAUUGCGAAGGCAGCCUUCCAGGGCAUUACUGACGCUAAGGCUCGAAGGUGCGGGUAU